rnacentral:rRNA from 1 species
ACAUGCAAGUCGAACGGCAGCACAGCAGUAGCAAUACUGUGGGUGGCGAGUGGCGGACGGGUGAGUAAUGCAUCGGGACCUACCUAGACGUGGGGGAUAACGUAGGGAAACUUACGCUAAUACCGCAUACGUCCUACGGGAGAAAGCGGGGGAUCUUCGGACCUCGCGCGGUUAGACGGACCGAUGUUCGAUUAGCUAGUUGGUAGGGUAAUGGCCUACCAAGGCGACGAUCGAUAGCUGGUCUGAGAGGAUGAUCAGCCACACUGGAACUGAGACACGGUCCAGACUCCUACGGGAGGCAGCAGUGGGGAAUAUUGGACAAUGGGCGCAAGCCUGAUCCAGCAAUGCCGCGUGUGUGAAGAAGGCCUUCGGGUUGUAAAGCACUUUUAUCAGGAGCGAAAUACUACUGGCUAAUAACCGGUGGGGCUGACGGUACCUGAGGAAUAAGCACCGGCUAACUUCGUGCCAGCAGCCGCGGUAAUACGAAGGGUGCAAGCGUUAAUCGGAAUUACUGGGCGUAAAGCGUGCGUAGGCGGUUUGUUAACUCUU